rnacentral:rRNA from 1 species
UACGUAGGGUGCGAGCGUUGUCCGGAAUUAUUGGGCGUAAAGGGCUCGUAGGCGGUUUGUCGCGUCGGGGAGUGAAAACUCAGGGCUUAACCCUGAGCCUGCUUCCGAUACGGGCAGACUAGAGGUAUGCAGGGGAGAACGGAAUUCCUGGUGUAGCGGUGAAAUGCGCAGAUAUCAGGAGGAACACCGGUGGCGAAGGCGGUUCUCUGGGCAUUACCUGACGCUGAGAAGCGAAAGCAUGGGGAGCGAACAGG